UACGGAGGGUGCAAGCGUCAUCCGGAUUUACUGGGUUUAAAGGGUGCGUAGGUGGGUUGGUAAGUCAGUGGUGAAAUACUUUCGCUUAACGAAGGAACUGCCAUUGAUACUAUCAAUCUUGAAUACAGUGGAGGCAGGCGGAAUGCGUCAUGUAGCGGUGAAAUGCUUAGAUAUGGCGCAGAACACCAAUUGCGAAGGGAGCUUGCUACACUGUUAUUGACACUGAGGCACGAAAGCGUGGGGAUCAAACAGG
rnacentral:rRNA from 1 species